CAGCUAGCAUCAUCCAACACAUUCUGUUCAUAUGAGCAACUAGGCACUUUUCCUAAGUGUUUCUAGUUAUGGCGCACAAACUUUCUUGAAUCCGUCAAAUAUAUUGUUCCCAGUUAAAUAGUUGAGGUUGGGGCCUGGUGGCGUGCUAUGUUGAGGCAAUAGCUUGCAGUACGAUGUGGCUUGGUGAAGGUCAAAAAGGAUGGACAGCAGCAUCAACAGCGCCAUGAUCCUGUCAGCAAUUUUUGGUCAAUCAAAUAGUCGCCCUGCAGAUGUGGAGCGCUAAACAUCGAUUGGAUUCAUGCACAGCUUUGUAGCAGCUACUAUAGCCAUAUGUCUGUGGAGGCAAUUAUGACCUAUAUGAUUGCAGGUUCGAAACUGUGGAUGUUUAGAAUUUAGAUGGGUACAAUGAUUUUGUAUAUGCUCUAAUUUGCUUACAUUUUUUUUCUUAGAUUUGCCUAUGAGAUUUCUAAAGUUGCUUUUAGUUACAAGUGCUGAGUUGUGAGAUUUCUAAAGUUGCUUUUAAUUACAAUUGUUGAGUUCAAUUAUCGGUAUCAAGAUGGUAGAAAUGUCUUUGCGGUUGUGACUGGUUUUGGUGCAAAAUUUAGUCUUGGCCAGUCUGCCAGCUAUUUUACCAGAUGAGGAAAGCUGCAAUCCGAUUCUUUCCAAAAACAAAGAGGCCGGCCCCGAUUCUUUCCAAAAACAAAGAGGCCGUACGGCCGGCCGGCCGUACGGCCGUACGUUAGCCACGUCCAUAAAAAUUUGAGCUAUAAUAGAGUUGAGAUUAAGGGAUACCUAAAAAAGUUAUAUUGUUAGGGGGGCUAUGGCCCCUGCCAGCCCCUCUCAGCUCCGCCACUGUCCAUGGCACUAUGACACUUCCAUAUUGAGACUGGCCUUAGGCUAAUCUCAGAGCAAGU